rnacentral:misc_RNA from 1 species
UCAUUUCUGUUAAACUUGGGUUAGAAGGCAUUGCAGAGCUUUUGAGAAGAUCAGUUUCUGCUGCAUUGUCAAGAUAUUCCAACAAUGAACGACUAAAUAUGCUCUUAGAGAAUAUAACAGAGAAAUUGGACACAAUAAUUGGUUCGUUUACUCGUUUAGACAAAGAGUUAUCCCACCUGAUGCAGAUAACGAAAUCUUACGAGUUCCUGGAAAGCAUUGAGAGUGCAGGCA